rnacentral:miRNA from 1 species
CGAGCCCGGCACGUGGAAGAGCC